rnacentral:rRNA from 1 species
AUGAAGGUCGACCCUAACAUGAGCAAGGAGGAGAUCACGAGCUGCGACGGCAGCACCAAGAGGAAAGGAGAAGCAAGCGAUGCCGAUGCUAGCGCCAGCGCCAAGAGGAGGCAGAAGAUGAAUGUCACCAUGAGCAUGGAUGUCCUGGACUGUCCCAUCUGCUCCAAGCCCCUCCGUCCUCCCAUUUACCAGUGCUCCGUGGGGCAUGUGGUCUGCUGGUCCUGCCGCCAAGGCCUCCCGGAGAGGAAGUGCAGCACGUGCACCGGCAGCGUCUCCGAGAGAUGCCACGCAAUGGAGCGCGUCGUCGACACUGUCUUCGUCCCCUGCAAGAACGGAUGUGCCAACGAGAUUGCCUACUGCCAGCAGGAGGGGCACGAGAGGGAGUGCCCCGCCCGCCCGUGCAUCUGCCCGGUCCCCGGCUGCGGCUUCUCAGGGCCGACAGCGGCGCUCCAGGACCAUUUAACCGGCCUCCACAAGUGGCCGAUGAAGAGUUUCAAGUACUUCGUACCGUUCUUCCUGCGAGCAGUGCGGCCUGGAUCUCAUGUCCUGAGCUGCGGAGACGGCCGCCUCUUCCUGCUCACGGUGGCGACGCCCGUGGAGCCCCUCGGCCGCGCGGUGUCCCUCAUCUGCGUCCGGCCGAACGCGCUGGAGUCCCCGGUCGGAUGCUCGGUGUGCUUCUCGUGCUUCAAUGGCCAUUACCAGGUCUCGUCGCUGGGCGUCGAGACCUUGUCUCUGGCGGAUGGGCUGCCGACGCAGUCCUUCUGUGUCUUGCCCAAGGUUGCCCGUGACAAAACUGAUGACGUCAUGCUUUGGAUCACAAUGGAUACAAUUUUCCCUAUUGACGAUGAUGAGCUGUACGAGGAGGACGAUGAAGACGACGACUACGAGGAGGAGGACGAUGAGGACAAUAAUGAUGAUGAUUGA